rnacentral:lncRNA from 1 species
CAGUUGAACGAUCCGAUUUGAAAUAAAAUUAAGGUCCAAAUUCUUCAACUCUAUCUCUUCUCAUUUUAUCUGUGAUGAUGUCCUUGAUUUGUGUGGUUCAUGUUUGAGUUUGAUGGUUAAUUUUUGACAGUGUGUUUGAGCCUCUUUAAUUAUCGUAGUUUGAUCGGUUUAUUUAAUUGAUGUUGAUCAUGACGUUAGUGAUUCGGCUAUGUUGGU